AGUGCAGAAGAGAAAGUGGAAAUCCAUGUGUAGCGGUGAAAUGCGUAGAGAUAAUGAAGGAACAACAGUGGCGAAAGGCGACUUUCUGGUUCUGUAACUGACACUGAGGCGCGAAAGCGUGGGGAGCAAACAGGAUUAGAUAACCCUGGUAGUUCACGCCGUUAAACGAUGAGUGCUAAAGUGUUAGAGGGUUUCCGCCCUUUAGUGCUGAAGUUAACGCAAUAAGCACUCCGCCUGGGGAGUACGGCCGCAAGGCUGAAACUCAAAGGAAUUGACGGGGGCCCGCACAAGCGGUGGAGCAUGUGGUUUAAUUUGAAGCAACGCGAAGAACCUUACCAGGUCUUGACAUCCUUUGACAACCCUAGAGAUAGGGCUUCUCCUUUGGGAGCAGAGUGACCGGUGGUGCAUGGUUGUUGUCAGCUCGUGUCGUGAGAUGUUGGGUUAAGUCCCGCAACGAGCGCAACCCUUGAUUUUAGUUGCCAUCAUUUAGUUGGGCACUUUAAGGUGACUGCCGGUGACAAACCGGAGGAAGGUGGGGAUGACGUCAAAUCAUCAUGCCCCUUAUGACCUGGGCUACACACGUGGUACAAUGGACGGUACAAAGAGCUGCAAGACCGCGAGGUGGAGCUAAUUUCAUAAAACCGUUUUCAGUUUGGAUUGUAGGGUGCAACUUGCCUACCUGAAGCUGGAAUCGCUUGUAAUCGCGGAUCAGCAUGCCGCGGUGAAUACGUUCCCGGGCCUUGUACACACCGCCCGUCACACCCCGAGAGUUUGUAACACCCGAAGUUCGGUGGGGUAACCUUUGAGCCAGCC
rnacentral:rRNA from 2 species